UACGUAGGGUGCGAGCGUUGUCCGGAAUUAUUGGGCGUAAAGAGCUCGUAGGCGGUGUGUCACGUCGUUCGUGAAAACCUGCAGCUUAACUGUGGGCGUGCGGUCGAUACGGGCAUCACUGGAGUUCGGCAGGGGAGACUGGAAUUCCUGGUGUAGCGGUGAAAUACGUAGAGAUUGGGAAGAACACCAGUGGCGAAGGCGGCUAUCUGGACGGUUUCUGACACUAAGACUCGAAAGCGUGGGGAGCAAACAGG
rnacentral:rRNA from 1 species